UGGCAGGAUUUAGAACCUUCAUGUGUGUC
rnacentral:piRNA from 1 species